rnacentral:tRNA from 1 species
GGGGCUGUAGCUCAGUUUGGGAGAGCGCGUGCAUGGCAUGCAUGAGGUCAGGGGUUCGAUCCCCCUCAGCUCCA